GCCGUUUCUAAGGGCGCUGCUAGGUGAAGGCGAAGAGCUGAUGUCACUCACAUUCUUUAAUAAUCAGUUUUCCUAAAACAGCAUAUGGACGUAGGAUGGAAGGGUGACUUGUUUGUGUAACAGAAGAUGAGAAUGGGGAGAAGAAAAAUUACAGAACAGUAAGAAGACUAGAUCCAAAAAUCCUCGCAAGUUAAAAGAAGGAACUGGUGGAUUUGAGGCUGACAAAUUUUGACAAUGUGAAUUUAUCACUCAGAAGCCAAUGGAUGAAUUCAAAGAAUAUAUUUCCAAAAAUGAGAAAACUGAAGCUCACAGAUGUUAAGUAACUUACAUAAGAUUAUACAGUGGCAGAGCUGAGAUUCAAAACGGAGUUAGUCUGAUUUCAAGUCCUAUAAUCUUUCUACUACACCAUAUUGUCUCCCUAAACAAUCCUAGAUACAAGAGAAAAUAAAGAGGAAAUGACACAGUCUGCCUUCUAAAACCUCUUGGCCUAUAAUGUGACAUAGGUGGAAGACACAAAUAGCACAGAGACAAAGGAGAAGAUACAACCCAGAUGACAUGGGUCAAGUAUCAUGCUACCAAACACAAGGAUCUCAAUGUGCAAAGCCCUGGGCCUGGUUCACUCUGAAGAAGCAUUUCUGCAGGAGACUUUAGGGCUAGUGACUUGAAGACGUCCUGAGGUUUGGAUUUGCUUAGCCUCAAGUCCCACUGUCUACACCUUUUACAACAUGAUGAACUCCACGCCAGCCUAAGAAUCAACGUGCAACUUAACCUUUCAGCCUUCCCAAUAAAAUAUGCAACAUUUUUGUGGAACUUUUCAGUUUUCCAAUUGCUUCCAAUGUGGCUAUUUAAUCAAUCCUUACUCUAAGCAAAUAUUCUUUAAGGAAUUUUAAGAAACUUUUUUUUUCUUUGCAUAAUGUUAACAGAAGUGGCAUCAACUGAUCACUUAAAUUCAGAAGCACUUCCUCAGAGCUAACGUAGCUCUCAGCCAAAACAAGUGUUCAAAACAGAUGAAAUGGAACUAUGGCAAGAAAGAAGUGCCUUUCUAAAAGUAUGUGUCUAAAGAAGAGAAGAAUUUCAGACAUCUGAUAUAAAGCUGACUGUAUUACAUUGCGACAAUACGGCAGACUUUUUGACUAAGCCAAGUUUACACCACUGUUCUGUCAUGCCAGGAGAUUCAGUGGCAAAAGAAUCAUUACAACUCUGCGGUCAGUUUACAAAAAUGAGUUCAGGUGAUAUCUCUACUUUUUUGGGACAGGUUUAAUAAAGACUUUAUGUUUGCUAAAAAUGGAAAAAAAAUUGCUUUGCACUCUUAUGAAUGUAAGUUUCUAAUCAUCAUAGACAAAAUAUCAGGCCAUUCAUUAAAUCUGCAAUUUUUUUUCUUUAAAAUAAUAUAGGGCCUUUUCUGCCCCUAAUCCUAUCAUGCUUUUUCAGUGUUCUAAAUGAGUAAAAUAUUAACAAUGUUCAAGGUAUUGUAUGCUGACAUAUUUGCAUACAUAGAUAGAGAUCUUGACUUUUUAUGUCUGCUGAUGCUAGGAGCAGACAUAAAAGGUGUAAAGGAACAUUAAGAUAGCCCUGGAUGAGGGAAAAAUCUGAAAUAAGAUGUGAUUGUUGGAAAGCUAUAAAAGAGAGGUGAAACAUUUUUCAAACGAUGCAUUGCAAAAGAGUUGUUAGGGUAAUGUGAAUAUCGCCAAGAGUAACUGGGAGAGGUAGAUUCAGAUUACAGAUUGAAAUGGAUAAAGACAACCCGAAAUUGUGAGUAAAAAGAGAUGAAGUGAAAAAAGACAAUGUUGAAAUAAAUAGAAAAGUCUUAAAAUAAUGAAGGAGUCAAAUAUAUAAAUCUCCUAAUUGUUGACCACACCAGUUAUCAUCUGUCAAUGGUGUGGAGUUUUAAAAUUGUCUGACAAUAAGUUUUGCAUUGGUUCAAUACCAGAAAAUGUAUCAAGAGCUGAACUAUAAAAGACAGCCAUCAAUCACAAUGUUAAAAACCUACCACUUCAGAAGCACACCUGUCUCUUGCCCAGGUUGUAUCCUUCAUUUCUUACUUUUAAGGUCCCCUGUUUCUGCUCUUGAGUUUGAUGUAAAUGGCUCUCAAGAGAUGCAAUCUCUUAUCACCCUGCUAUGUGGUACAUUUCAUCCUUGUCUUCAAACAUUACCAUCAUAAAAUCAGAUGGUUCAUAGUUACUGCAAUAGGAACAUAUAGUAGAGUUGCAACAUGUAACAGAAAGAGAUAAAUGGAAGAAGUAUGGGUGACUCCAUCCACCAUUCAACUCAAUGAGUGAAUGCCUUGGAGUGAGCAUGAAGAGUGAGACAUGACUCCACUGAGCCCUUGGUCGGUCACAGUACAUGUGUACCUUUCAUAGUAUGACCAUCUGACAACACUAUGUGGUAAUUUCAUCUAAGAAACACGUAUAUUUUUCAUACAAAGCACAAACAUUGCCAAACACAAGUCAACUUGUUUAUCGACUCCCCAUUUGAUUCAACAGCAAUCUAUCCCAACAAUGAAAGUAAAGUGAUAGGGGUUAAAAUCUUUGAGAUAGGGUAUGAAUGUCUCCAAUGUGGCAGGAAUAUAUGGCUCUAAAUGCACAUAAAAUCAAUACAGACAAAUCCAUGUAGACCAUUAAAUUAUGAGGAAUUUAUGAGAUUUUUUUAAAGUAAUUUGGUCACAUGCAAUAUUCAACCUUUUAGGCUGAACUUGGAACAUAACCCCCUCCUGAAAUGUCACUCCACUGGGAUGAAAUACACUGAGUUUAUCUUAGUAGUAGGAUUUAUUUCACUGGCUUCACAAAUAAUUUUUAUUCUAAGUUUAUAAACAUUCCAGAGGUUGAAGGGACCCGUUAUACCUUACUACACUUACUAGGAGAAAUUCAUUGUUUUUGCCUUCACUUGUGAAGAUUGUAGAUUUGUCCCUACAAAUAUCAAGGGUCUGAUAUCACUGUACAGAUUUUGAAAGUGGCUUCCUAAUUCCGCUCUUCCCCCUCACUCAGCUGGGAGUUGACUGUUUUUAGUAUCUGACUACUGGAGGACUACAAUGUUUACUGUAUCUGUAGGAAAGACAUCCCAGGAAUGGUGCUCAAUGACUUACAAACCCACCUAAAUGAACUAUCAUCCAAGAGAAUGUUUCUAUGUUUUGUUCAGAGCUGUAUCACAAGAGCUAUGUUAACGAAGGUAAUAAACUCAAAACAUUUUGGAUAUUUGGCAGUUCCUUGUUUUGCAAAGCUGGUAAUUCUAUGGCAUCUAUUCUACUGCACAUACUAUAAAAUGCUAUAUUGGGACAUUUAAAUAUGAUGGUCUUAUAAUGUUUGUGGAGAGAACAUAACUAAAAAGACUAAUGUAGACCUAUAUUCCUUUGCUUGGUAUACAUAUAAAAGGAAUCCUUUAAUAUGCUAUGACCACCCAAAUGUUAUGAUUUCUAAAGAAAGAAAGGCUCAAAAAAGUAACAGU
rnacentral:lncRNA from 10 species